GGGCGCGUGGCACAGCGGUAGCGCACUCCCUUCACACGGGAGGGGUCACAGGUUCGAUCCCUGUCGCGCCCACCA
rnacentral:tRNA from 1 species